CACAAAUGAACGCCGCAGUCAAAGUCGCUCAAGCAAUGCUUUAAAAUAAGCUUCACCUCCGGUGUGAAUGAACCUUUACUGUCUGUCUCAAGCUCCCUCCCAAGUUAUUGCUGAGAGGACACUACGCUGAGACGAAAGGAUAUUUCCAGAAAGUGGCAGCAUACUGGCAACACAGAGAGGGAACUAUAUCACUGAGAUUGUUGAACCAAGUCAACCAUGGACAUCCGGUACACCCCGUACCAAAAAAAGGCUGGGACAAAAGUAUCUUCUCUGUCUGCUUUAUAGCUGAGAACGGCAAAUGACCAUCAGCUGAACAUCAGAGUUCCCAGUAAUGAUCAAACUGACAGCAGAAGCUGCAGCUUUCAAAAGCCAGCCACUAUGGGUCAGCAAAGCAGGGACUACCACCAUGGACACUCUGAUGCCAAGACGGUCCCCCUGCCUCCAGGGCCCCCACCUGCCCACACAAUGAUUGACUUGAAGAGGAGUGCUGGGACGAAGUACCCUAAUGACAUUACGAUGUCUCCUGCUCCUGCCUACGCUGGGUCAAACAUGUUUCAAAACAAAAAAGAUAUGACAGGCAGAUGUUCUCCGAUGGAGGUUGACCCACCUCUGAACAGUUCCACCUCGAUGUCUAGAGAUGUGUAUAUGCGUCCUGCUGCUGUGUUCAACACAAGCAACAC